CGGGGAGCACAUGGUUAUGGGGUCCCUAGGGUGGCGGGCACGUGGUUACGGGGUCCCUACCUUGCGGCCAUGGGUGUCACGUGGCCAUGGGGUCCCCCAAGGCCACCCAGUGUGACCAGGGGUGUCCCCAAGGUGCCACCAUGGUCAUGGAGGUCCUCAAGGUCCCAUCAUGACCAAGGAGGUCCCCAAGGAAGGUCCCCAAGGUGCCACCAUGGUCAGGGAGGUCCCCAAGGUCCCACCAUGGUCAGGGAGGUCCCCAAGGGAGGUCCCCAAGGUGCCACCAUGGCCAAAGAGGUCCCCAAGGGAGGUCCCACCAUGGUCAGGGAGGUCCCCAAGGUGCCACCAUGGCCAAAGAAGUCCCCAAGGGAGGUCCCACCACGGUCAUGGAGGUCCCCAAGGCCCCACCACACCCACAGAGGUCCCCAAGAUCCCACCAAGACCACAAGCGGAUCCCCAAUUUCCACUUCUCCCACCCGCUGGGACCGGGCCACCCCUGAGGUCCGUGCCACCCACCCGAAGCGUCCCCCGGGCGCGGGGCCACCCAUGGGUGCCCCCCG